AAUGUUAGGAAGAGCCUCCAUGUCUGGAAUUGGAACCAGGCCCGAUUUGGGAGCUCCGACCAGACCAACCAGCUGAGCAACCAGCAGCGUAAUGGGGUUAAUUUCCCGCAGCAGAAGCAGCAGAAUGCUCCGGCGGCGGCGGCGGCGGCGGUGGCGGCGGCGGUGGCGGCGGCGGUGGCGCCGCCGCCACCUCCUCCGGCGAGGCAGAUUGAUUUCUCUGGGGUGGCCAGGCUGAAGAGCCUGGAGACGGAGAAGGACGACGCAGAGUUACCCUGCAAGGAAGGGAGGCCGGCAGCGGCGGCCGCCGCCGCUGGUGAGGAGCGGAGACCGAGGAAGAGAGGGAGGAAGCCGGCGAAUGGGAGGGAGGAGCCCCUCAACCAUGUGGAAGCGGAGCGGCAGAGGAGGGAGAAGCUGAACCAGAGAUUCUACGCUCUCCGCGC
rnacentral:lncRNA from 1 species